rnacentral:lncRNA from 1 species
UGGUAGUUUGUUCAAUUUCUUUUCAAAAGAGCAUUGUUUUUGUUUUUGUUUUUUGAAUUGAAGUUCAUUUUCAUUUUAUCCUGAGAGGUUCACAGUAGCUCUUGAAAUAAAUGAAAGUGACUUUAAACGGGCUUUGUUUUGAGGUGAUCUCAGCAGCUCUGAGGAUACGCACAGCAGUCUUGGAGUCUCACAAAACUCGGCUGGAAAUCUCUGGCCCCAGAGGGAGGAAGAUGCUUCUCUAUUUCUACCUGAGGCCUUCCUUAGGCUCCUGGUCAGGAAGGGAGAAGAGACCCCGGGCAAGGGGUGAGAAGUGGGGGUGGGGGAGUCUUGCCCCUUCCUCUGGACGACAGAGCCCAUUACUAGAGGGAAUUUCAAUGGUGUUUCCAACCCCAGGUCUCACCCAGGAAGGAGGAAUCUAAACAAACUCAGCUGCCAGUGGCUCCCCCAUAGCGACAGUUUGAGGCCGGAUUCACUGAAGUUUUCACAGAUGAGUCUAGGUAAAGUUGUGGGGGUUUUUGCUGUUGUUUUGUUUUGUUUUGUUUCUUUGAGACAGGGUCUCAGUCUGUCGCCCAGGCUGGAGUGCAGUUGAGUGAUCUUGGCUCACUGCAGACUCCAACUCCUGGAUUCAAGUGAUUCUCCUGCCUCAGCCACCCAAGGUGUGAGCCACCAUGCCCAGCUAAUUUUUGUAUUUUUAGUAGAGACAGGGUUUUGCCAUGUUGCCCAGGCUGGCCUUGAACUCCUGAGCACAAGCGAUCCGCCCACCUCAGCCUCACAAAGUGCUGGGAUUACAGGCAUGAGCCACCGUGCCCAGCCAAAGUUGUGGUUUUAAGCAGGAUGUUCCAAAGUCCAGUGGUUAUGACCAAACGCCACACAGAGACAGAAGCCUCCCGCACAGCCCCAACUCCCAGCAGCCAUGGUGUUCCAGGUCCUCCAAAGUCAGCUUCUCCUCCAGGAGGCCACUGAGCUCCCCAGCUGCGGGGCUGAGGCCACACAGCCCUGUGCGGUUCAUCUGCCAUCCGGGCCCUUCUUCCUCUUCUGAGCUUCACAGUUAGCCCAGGGAAGAAAACAGGCGUGUCUUCCACAAAC